GCAAGUCGAACGAGAAAGCCCUUUCGGGGGUGAGUAGAGUGGCGCACGGGUGAGUAACACGUAGGUGACCUACCUUAUAGUGGAGGAUAACCCUUAGAAAUGAGGGCUAAUACUGCAUACGAUAAAUGAAAUUGAAAAAGUUUAUGAAAGGAUGCCUCUCCUUGGAAGCAUUCGCUAUUAGAUGGGCCUGCGGAGCAUUAGCUUGUUGGUGGGGUAAUGGCCUACCAAGGCGAUGAUGUUUAUCUGAUCUGAGAGGAUGAUC
rnacentral:rRNA from 1 species